rnacentral:rRNA from 1 species
AUAAAAACCUCUUAGGUAGUAUUACUUUAUUUAAAAACCUAUAUAAAAUGGCGGCAUUUCAUCUUAUUAGAGGAACAUGUUCUAUAAUCGACAAUACACGAUAACUUUCACUUAUUUUAAAAUUUUAUAUACCUCCGUCCCCAAUCUAAUCAUAAUAUAUCAUUAAAAUAAAAAUCUAAAAGGUUAGGUAAAGGUGUAAACAAUAAAUAAGAUAGAAAUGUGUUACCUUAAAUACAAUUUAAAGAUUUUAAUUAAAAUCUUAAAUGAAAAAGGAUUUAAAAGUAAAACUUAUAUAAUAUAAUUAUUUGAAUAAGAAAAUAAAUGUGC